rnacentral:rRNA from 1 species
GGAAUAUUGGACAAUGGGGGCAACCCUGAUCCAGCGACGCCGCGUGUGUGAAGAAGGCCUGCGGGUUGUAAAGCACUUUUAGUGGGGAUGAAAAGCACACUCUUAAUACUGGUGUGUCUUGACCUAACCCAAAGAAAAAGCAACGGCUAACUCUGGGCCAGCAGCCGCGGUAAUACAGAGGGUGCGAGCGUUAAUCGGAAUUACUGGGCGUAAAGCGUGCGUAGACGGUUAUUUAAGUCGGGUGUGAAAGCCCCGGGCUCAACCUGGGAAUUGCAUUCGAGACUGAAUAGCUAGGGUACGGUAGAGGGAAGUGGAAUUUCCGGUGUAGCGGUGAAAUGCGUAGAUAUCGGAAGGAACAUCAGUGGCGAAAGCGACUUCCUGGACUAGUACCGACGUUCAGGCACGAAAGCGUGGGGAGCAAAC